rnacentral:rRNA from 1 species
UAAGGGAACCCCGAGUGGCCGGAAAUUCGGGCUGGCCAUCAGCGUAAAAAACUGGUGAAGAAAGGGCCGGGCAAGACCGGUGCCAGCCGCCGCGGUAAUACCGGCGGCUCGAGUGGUGGCCACUAUUACUGGGCU